rnacentral:rRNA from 1 species
GACGAACGCUGGCGGCGUGCUUAACACAUGCAAGUCGAACGGAAAGGCCCUGCUUUUGUGGGGUGCUCGAGUGGCGAACGGGUGAGUAACACGUGAGUAACCUGCCCUUGACUUUGGGAUAACUUCAGGAAACUGGGGCUAAUACCGGAUAGGAGCUCCUGCUGCAUGGUGGGGGUUGGAAAGUUUCGGCGGUUGGGGAUGGACUCGCGGCUUAUCAGCUUGUUGGUGGGGUAGUGGCUUACCAAGGCUUUGACGGGUAGCCGGCCUGAGAGGGUGACCGGCCACAUUGGGACUGAGAUACGGCCCAGACUCCUACGGGAGACAGCAGUGGGGGAUAUUGCACAAUGGGCGGAAGCCUGAUGCAGCAACGCCGCGUGCGGGAUGACGGCCUUCGGGUUGUAAACCGCUUUCGCCUGUGACGAAGCGUGAGUGACGGUAAUGUGUAAAGAAGCACCGGCUAACUACGUG